ACGGAGGAUGCGAGCGUUAUCCGGAUUUAUUGGGUUUAAAGGGUGCGUAGGUGGACUGUUUAGUCAGUGGUGAAAUGCUGAUGCUCAACGUUAGCAUUGCCGUUGAAACUGACAGUCUUGAGAGUGAUUGAGGCAGGCGGAAUGUGUGGUGUAGGGGUAAAAAACACAAAAAUCACACAGAACACCAAGGGCGAGGGCAUCAUACAAAGCCACAACUGACACUGAAGCACGAAAGCGUGGGGAUCAAACAG
rnacentral:rRNA from 1 species